rnacentral:rRNA from 1 species
GAUCCUGGCUCAGGAUGAACGCUAGCUACAGGCUUAACACAUGCAAGUCGAGGGGCAGCAUGUUGGUUGCUUGCAACCAACGAUGGCGACCGGCGCACGGGUGAGUAACGCGUAUCCAACCUUCCGCAUACUCGGGAAUAGCCUUUCGAAAGAAAGAUUAAUGCCCGAUGGUUUCCCGAAUCCGCAUGAGAGCGGGAAUAAAGAUUCAUCGGUAUGCGAUGGGGAUGCGUCCCCAUUAG